GUAAAAACUUGCAUGGCAAAGGACUGGAGCAGAAAAUAGAAGUCUACCAGACUUUUCAUUCAAGAAUGUAAAAUUCACCAAAGCCUAAAAACCUGAGUAUGCUGCUUCCCAAAAGUCAGUGCUGAGCACCAGUGAAAAGUGGGGACAAGAAUAUCGUCCAAGAUCAGUUCCUAACAACAAAGAAAACAGAUCUUCUCUCUCAUGUCCGAAUGCCUCAGUACUAUAAAGCUCCUAUCAUUACCAUCAAGAAACCUGGAUGCGCAAGUGGAAUUCUAAACUGAACCAUAGGAGAAAAUGACCCUCUUAGAUUUG